rnacentral:rRNA from 1 species
UACAGAGGGUGCGAGCGUUAAUCGGAAUUACUGGGCGUAAAGCGUGCGCAGGCGGUUCGUUAAGUCAGAUGUGAAAGCCCCGGGCUCAACCUGGGAACUGCAUUUGAAACUGGCGGGCUUGAGUGUGGCAGAGGGGGGUGGGAAUUCCGCGUGUAGCAGUGAAAUGCGUAGAGAUGCGGAGGAACACCGAUGGCGAAGGCAGCCCCCUGGGCCAACACUGACGCUCAGGCACGAAAGCGUGGGGAGCAAACAGG